UUAGCGAUAAAGAGGGUGAGAGACCCUCUCGCCGUAAGUCCAAGGGUUCCUGCUUAAAGCUAAUCUGAGCAGGGUAAGCCGGCCCCUAAGGCGAGGCCGAAAGGCGUAGUCGAUGGGAACCACGUUAAUAUUCGUGGGCCAGGAGGAAGUGACGGAUCUCGACUGUAGUUUGCCCUUAUCGGAUUGGGUGGGCUGCUUAGAGGUUCCAGGAAAUAGCCCUCCAUCAGACCGUACCCUAAACCGACACAGGUGGACUGGUAGAGUAUACCAAGGCGCUUGAGAGAACCACAUUUAAGGAACUCGGCAAAAUGCCUCCGUAAGUUCGCGAGAAGGAGGCCCUGUUCUUACGCAAGUAGGGGCAGGGGGCACAAACUAGGGGGUGGCGACUGUUUACUUAAAACACAGGGCUGUGCGAAGCCGUAAGGCGACGUAUACAGUCUGACGCCUGCCCGGUGCUGGAAGAUUAAGAGGAGGGGUGCAAGCUCUGAAUUGAAGUCCCAGUAAACGGCGGCCGUAACUAUAACGGUCCUAAGGUAGCGAAAUUCCUUGUCGGGUAAGUUCCGACCUGCACGAAUGGCGUAACGAUCUCCCCGCUGUCUCAAAUGUGGACUCAGCGAAAUUGAACUGUGAGUCAAGAUGCACACUACCCGCGGUUAGACGGAAAGACCCCAUGCACCUUUACUCCAGCUUUGCACUGGUAUCAGGAUUGUGAUGUGCAGGAUAGGUGGUAGGCAUCGAAGCGGGGACGCCAGUCUUCGUGGAGCCUCCCUUGAGAUACCACCCUUCGCCAUCUUGAUAUCUAACCGCGGCCCGUUAUCCGGGUCCGGGACCCUGCAUGGUGGGGAGUUUGACUGGGGCGGUCGCCUCCCAAAUCGUAACGGAGGCGCGCGAAGGUAGGCUCAGACCGGUCGGAAAUCGGUCGUUGAGUGCAAUGGCAUAAGCCUGCCUGACUGCAAGACUGACAAGUCGAGCAGAGACGAAAGUCGGUCAUAGUGAUCCGGUGGUCCCAAGUGGGAGGGCCAUCGCUCAACGGAUAAAAGGUACGCUGGGGAUAACAGGCUGAUGAUGCCCAAGAGUCCAUAUCGACGGCAUCGUUUGGCACCUCGAUGUCGGCUCAUCUCAUCCUGGGGCUGGAGCAGGUCCCAAGGGUACGGCUGUUCGCCGUUUAAAGAGGUACGUGAGCUGGGUUUAGAACGUCGUGAGACAGUUCGGUCCCUAUCUGCCGUGGGUGUAGGAGACUUGAGAAGAGUUGCCCCUAGUACGAGAGGACCGGGGUGAACGGACCACUGGUGGACCAGUUAUCGUGCCAACGGUAGUGCUGGGUAGCUAUGUUCGGACAGGAUAACCGCUGAAGGCAUCUAAGCGGGAAGCCCCCUUCAAAACAAGGUCUCCCUUGAGAGCCGUGGAAGACCACCACGUCGAUAGGCCAGAGAUGUAAGAGCAGUAAUGCUUUCAGUUGACUGGUACUAAUUGCUCGAU
rnacentral:rRNA from 1 species